ensembl:lncRNA LINC01206 long intergenic non-protein coding RNA 1206
GGCAGUUGAGAUUCAGACCUUGACAGUUGUAACCGAUAGACUGGGCUGGGGCAACGCUGAUGAAAGGCAAAUUCCUGAGAGAAAAAUCACCCAGAUUUUUCAGUGCCUUCUCUAGCUUUCUAGAAGUUGUUAUGAGUGGACCUGACUACCUAGAGAGAGUAAUACAGAAGCUCCGUGCCGAUCACAGCUACCUCAUUACCAUGUUCCUCCAAGAUGGCCGCCCCUGAGGAGAAUCAUCAACUGGGCUUUACGGAAGAGAGAAAUCCAAACGACCAUCAGCAACAAAUGAAAGACUGAAGUUGAAAGGAAAUCCAUAAUUUUUGAAUGCUGGCCGAGGUCUGUGACCUCUGACUGAAUGGUUUCCAAGCUCCGAAUUCCUAGGUGAUGUUUUCAUUUGUUCACACUUGCUGAAGAAGGGAAAGGCUCUCUGAUUUACGUGUAAGCAAAACAAUCUAAACAGUAGGAUAAAAUCAUGUUGGAAUGGAGUUCUGUGUGGAUGCUCCUUUGAACCAAAUCAGUUCCACAACUGACCCUGUCAGGGACAUAUAAAUUUAGCAUUUUGGUGUGGAUACAGAAGACGAGAUUAACACAGAUCAAGUAACAUGGAAAUAAAAAAGGAGACAAUGCUGGAUGAUACAGGGGCAGCCAACAAGAGGAGAAAACCCAAGCAUUGGCAAAUGCCUCAUUAUCCAAAGAACACUCCUUAUACUCCUGAGAAUUUGUGGCAGUCCUGGGUUAAACGAUGAAGGCUUCUUAUUCUCAUGUAGGUCUCACAGCCUCUUGUCUCCCUGAGUUUUAAACACAUUGCAUUACCUUUCCAGAGGAGGUGUGGAGCAAAACUGUGUUGAAUGAACUGUAGAUGGAAAUUCUCUCCUUCCCACCGAGGAGCCGCUGCAGGUUGCAGACUCCCAGAAUGCCACACUGAGAAGAGGAGGGCUAAAAUUCUAGAGCAGAAUCCCUGGGGCAGCCCCUGCUGAAGAAGGGUGCAUCUGUUGAGAAUCUCAUCACCGCCCCCACCCCGCCCAGCCUUCAAUUUAGAGGAAUUUCUAGUUCACGCAGAAUGAAGACAAGAUCACAUAAGUGAGGACGACGCCCCAUUUACAAGUGUGAUUUGGAAGACUGAAGUGGAAACCUUGGGAAGGGGCCUCAGAGUAUGUCAGCUGGGGUCAGACGGGAACAGGAGUCUGGCUCAACACACAUUUAUUGCACUCCUGUUUCAUGCCAAGAAAUGUACCAAAAUCUGGGACUGUGUAACACAGCAAAGGAAAAGACUCAUCUCCAGGAAGCCCCCUUGUCUAGGAAGAGAAAUUGAAUAUCAGCAUAAGGUGGUGAAAAGCUGUGAAGGAGAUGAGUGCCAGGAGUCCAUGGAGGAAGGAUUCUAGCCUGGACAGGUGAGGAAUGGCUUUCUGGAAGAAGCAGAUGCCCCAGCUGAACUUUAAAAUGCCCAUGUGAAAUGAACUGUCUGUAUCUUCAAUCAGCAAAUGGAGUAGGUGGCCACUGUUUAAUUCUGGAAUGGGGAAGUGUAAAGGUGUGGUGUGUGUGUUUACCCCUACUUAGGGAUUCAAAACAGACAGUAAAGAACAAAAGUCUAGCCCUUUGAGCAUUCUCCAUGGGACAUUUGAGGUCUAGCUGGCCCCAGAGAAAGAGAGACAGAAGCAAGGUCAUAUCCAUUUGAGAAAAUCAAAGUGUCUGCUCCAAUUGAGUCUGGUGUCCUUAUUCCUGGAAUAGCCAUCCCUACUGCUCUGGUGCUGAUUUACCUCCGGCAGUUCAGUGCUUCCUGGAAGGUGAUUGUGGUGAAUAGUCAUGAGAAUCUGGGAACUGGCUCCUGCUCUGUCUAUCUUGGAGAUGCAUCUUUUAGUCUCCAUGAAUUGCAAGGGAAAACAAGUGGUACACUGGUAUUUCUAUUUGAUAACCUGUUCUCUUUGGAAUUCCGGUUAGAAAUCAAAGGCUUACUUGAGUUUUAAUGCUUUCGGGACUUCAAAUGCUUUUCUAUCUUCCUAAUAAUAUAUUAACAUUUUCUGAAGACAACAUAUAUGUGGAAAACAACAUUAUUUACUCAAAUAAUUUUUUUUGAAAAAUGGACCAAAAAAAAAGAAAAACCAACAAAA